rfam:Beta vulgaris subsp. vulgaris Bvchr8.sca001.con0021.1, whole genome shotgun sequence.
AUAUGCAUUACUGGGCAAAGUCACCUUUGGCAGGCAGUCAUUUAGUCGUAACUCGAAAGCUUAUAGCUAAAUUCAUAUAGCUGAUAAUAACUUAAUAAAUCAGCUUGUUGGAGGCUAAGUGAGCUCACUGCCAAAGGAGAUUUGCCCGGCAAUGUAUUU